GAUGAACGCUGGCGGCGUGCCUAAUACAUGCAAGUCGAGCGAACAGAUGAGGAGCUUGCUCCUCUGACGUUAGCGGCGGACGGGUGAGUAACACGUGGAUAACCUACCUAUAAGACUGGGAUAACUUCGGGAAACCGGAGCUAAUACCGGAUAAUAUAUUGAACCGCAUGGUUCAAUAGUGAAAGACGGUUUUGCUGUCACUUAUAGAUGGAUCCGCGCCGCAUUAGCUAGUUGGUAAGGUAACGGCUUACCAAGGCAACGAUGCGUAGCCGACCUGAGAGGGUGGUCGGCGACACGAGAACGGGGACACGGUCCUGACUCCUAAGGGAGGCAGCAGUAGGGAAUCUUCCGCAAUAGGCGAGAGCUUGACGGAGCGACGCCGCGUGAGUGAUGAAGGUCUUCGGAUCGUAAAGCUCUGUUAUUAGGUAAGAACAAAUGUGUAAGGAACUAUACACUUCGUGACGGUACCUAAUCAGAAAGCCACGGCUAACUACGUG
rnacentral:rRNA from 1 species